UGUGGUUAAAAAGCUCGUAGUUGGAUCUCAACAGUCUUGAAGCGGUCAACUUUGUAGUUGUACUGCUUUGUAGACUGUGCUUUUGCUGGAGGUUUAGGGGUGCUCUUAAUCGAGUGUCUCUGGAUGCCAGCAGGUUUACUUUGAAAAAAUUAGAGUGCUCAAAGCAGGCUAAAAUGCCUGAAUAUUCGUGCAUGGAAUAAUAGAAUAGGAUGUCGAUCCUAUUUUGUUGGUUUUCGGGACUUGACGUAAUGAUUAAUAGGGACAGUCGGGGGCAUUUGUAUUCAAACGACAGAGGUGAAAUUCUUGGACCGUUUGAAGACAAACUACUGCGAAAGCAUUUGCCAAGAAUGUUUUCAUUAAUCAAGAACGAAAGUUAGAGGUUCGAAGGCGAUUAGAUACCGCCCUAGUUCUAACCAUAAACGAUGCCAGCUAGCGAUCUGCCGCUGUUUUUACUG
rnacentral:rRNA from 1 species